ACGAGGCGAUGUACAUGUGCCAUAGGCACAUUUAGGAUGUACAUCGCCGAAAUGCCGCUGAACGAAUGUGAAGGGGCGAUUCCGAUA
rnacentral:sRNA from 1 species